CAUGCUUAAUUAAUAUAUAAAGUGGGUGAACCACUAAACAAGUAGCUAGCUGUAACUACACAUUUGACGUGAGUUACACAAGACAUUUAAUUAGACCCUAUACACAACUAUUGUUAGGACAGUUAGCAAUGGAUCACGAAGCAGAAGCCCAGGGACAACCUGAUGAACCAAGAGUACUGAUGCAAGCAGCAGCAGGUGGCUAUCAGCCGGUAGCUAAUGAUGACAAUCCUCGACAGCUAAAUGAUGUCCGUAAUAACAAACAACGGACUUGCCUAAUUGUUCAAGGGAUACUAAUCGCCGUGCUGUUUGUUGCAUUCGUGGUACUAGCGGUCGGCUUUGGAGUUGUGAUAAGCAUCUUCCAUACGUCUGUCAACACCAACACUAACAGCUCUGCACCACACACACUGAGCUGUCACCAGGAUACAGUGGAUUGUUUAUUCUCUAGAAAUACGACUGAUAGUGGCGAGGCUGUAUCAACGUGUUCCACAAAUUCUCUAUCAACAAAAGCCAAGGGCUACUACACCACUGACGUCCGCUGUGAGGUCACUGGACUAAGUACCUGCCCUGCUCUUAUGAUUCUGUACGAUGAGACUGGGGAUAAAAAGUCUUGCUAUUGUGAAAUGAUUAAAAAACCAAGUGGGGGAACCCCCGAAGCAACAUGCACUGGAAUAUGUAAUCUAGUUAUAACCAGAUGCCAGGAAAAAUGAAUACUUUUUAGAAUUGUGCAUACUCUAUAUUAUGUGAAGACAAUUUUGGGGAGUCCCCUGGUCCCUUC